AGGGGUAUAUGUCUUCGGAUAUAGAGACCGGCGCACGGGUGCGUAACGCGUAUGCAAUCUACCUUUUACAGGGGAAUAGCCCAGAGAAAUUUGGAUUAAUGCCCCAUAGUAUAAUUGAAUGGCAUCAUUUAAUUAUUAAAGUCACAACGGUAAAAGAUGAGCAUGCGUCCCAUUAGUUAGUUGGUAAGGUAACGGCUUACCAAGACAAUGAUGGGUAGGGGUCCUGAGAGGGAGAUCCCCCACACUGGUACUGAGACACGGACCAGACUCCUACGGGAGGCAGCAGUGAGGAAUAUUGGACAAUGGGCGCAAGCCUGAUCCAGCCAUGCCGCGUGCAGGAAGACGGUCCUAUGGAUUGUAAACUGCUCUUAUACAGGAAGAAACACUCCGACGUGUCGGAGCUUGACGGUACUGUAGGAAUAAGGAUCGGCUAACUCCGUGCCAGCAGCCGCGGUAAUACGGAGGAUCCAAGCGUUAUCCGGAAUCAUUGGGUUUAAAGGGUCCGUAGGCGGUUUAAUAAGUCAGUGGUGAAAUCUGGUCGCUCAACGAUCAAACGGCCAUUGAUACUGUUAGACUUGAAUUAUAAGGAAGUAACUAGAAUAUGUAGUGUAGCGGUGAAAUGCUUAGAUAUUACAUGGAAUACCAAUUGCGAAGGCAGGUUACUACUUAUGGAUUGACGCUGAUGGACGAAAGCGUGGGGAGCGAACAGGAUUAGAUACCCUGGUAGUCCACGCCGUAAACGAUGGAUACUAGCUGUUGGAAGCAAUUUCAGUGGCUAAGCGAAAGUGAUAAGUAUCCCACCUG
rnacentral:rRNA from 1 species